rnacentral:rRNA from 1 species
AGUGAACGCUGGCGGCGUGCUUAACACAUGCAAGUCGAACGAGAACGGAUUAUAGCUUGCUAUAAUUGUCAGCUAAGUGGCGCACGGGUGAGUAAUGUAUAGGUAAUAUGCCUCUUACUAAGGGAUAACAAAUGGAAACGUUUGCUAAUACCUUAUACUCCUUAUUAACAGAAGUUAAUAAGGGAAAGAUUUAUUGGUAAGAGAUUAGCCUGUAUUGUAUCAGUUAGUUGGGGGGGUAACGGCUUACCAAGACUAUGACACAUAACUGGUUUGAGAGGAUGAUCAGUCACACUGGAACUGAGACACGGUCCAGACUCCUACGGGAGGCAGCAGUGGGGAAUAUUGCACAAUGGACGAAAGUCUGAUGCAGCAACGCCGCGUGGAGGAUGACACAUUUCGGUGCGUAAACUCCUUUUAUAUGAGAAGAUAAUGACGGUAUUAUAUGAAUAAGCACCGGCUAACUCCGUGCCAGCAGCCGCAGUAA